AGCUCCUUUUCGUGCUGUCGAAAGCAGCUUUGAAAUCGACGAAUAGGUGGUGAGUGUCGAUUCUCCUUUCACGGGUCUUUUCCAAGAUUUGGCGCAUGGUGAAUAUCUGGUCGGUUGUUGAUUUACCAGGUCUGAAGCCACACUGAUAAGGUCCAAUCAGUUUGUUGACGGUGGGCUUUAAUUUUCAAAUUAGUACUAUUUAAAGUAAUUGUGGUAUUUUCCGAAUGUAUUUUAUUUCAUGAUAUGAAUUAUUUAAAAGAAUUUUGAUACUGCCAAUUUUUUAUUUUACGAACAGAUGGAUUCACCAGCGCUGUUUGAUGCAAUUGAUUUUGAAGAAUUCCCAGCAACGUCUUCGACUCCUGUAAAAGGUAUGUACAUGUAAAUUUGUCGUUUUAGUUUUCACUUUAUCUGUACACAUUUGUUAAUGUAGAACAACUGACAUUGAAGCGUAAAAAAUUUGAUAUUUCUGGUUGCUACAACUCGGAGGCAAAACGAAAUGAAAACAAUUUGGCUGUGGAUGGAAAUGGUAAUCCAAUACUUUUCUAAAGUGUAUUGUUCUCUAUUAUGUUUAUAACUUUUUUCAGAAGUUUUUAAUAUGUUAAAAACUAUUUCUGCACAAUUAGAAGUAUUGACGACAAGAUUAUACAAUAUGGAGAAAAAGAUGGACAGCUAUAUGAAAGAAAAUAUAAUUCAUAAAAGCGAAGAAAUGGCCCAACAAAAAACUGUGCGCGAAUAAACAAAAAUUUAAAAACAAAGGGAAAUUCAGAUAAUUUACAUGAUGUGCUGAGACAUAUAUACACUGACGAAUUUUUGUUUUUGUGUAACUGGGACGGUAGAGGAGGGAAACAACCCCUAUCGAAAUUUCUACUGGCAUCUAACAUAUUAUAUGAUUCUUUCGUUACUUGUGGACUGGCGAAUUUCGAAAAACAAAUUCGGAAGUCCAUCGAGAUGAGCCACCAUAGGUACAAACAAAAGAAAUACAGGAAGCGAAAAGCUGUGGAGGAAUCGAACGAAUCCAAAAAGAUAAUAAUUUAAAAAAAAUGUAGUAGGAUUUAAGAAUGUAUAAACAAAAAUGAAUUUUGAUAGUGUAACUUUAAUAGCUUUAAUAUGAAUGUUUAUUUUAAAAAUCUAUAUCUUACUAUGUAAUUAAAUUUUUCUUAAAAAUAUUUAUAAAAAUGAAUUUACAAUAAUCUAAUGUAAUUAGAAAAAUAUAAUAUUAUA